GAAUUAAUUCCCCAUAGUACAUUCUAUUAUCUCAUGAUAUAAAUGUUAAAGAUUUAUCGGUUAAAGAUGGGCAUGCGUCUGAUUAGUUUGUUGGUAAGGUAACGGCUUACCAAGACUACGAUCAGUAGGGGGUCUGAGAGGAUGAUCCCCCACACUGGUACUGAGACACGGACCAGACUCCUACGGGAGGCAGCAGUAAGGAAUAUUGGGCAAUGGGCGCAAGCCUGACCCAGCCAUGCCGCGUGCAGGAUGACGACCCUAUGGGUUGUAAACUGCUUUUAUAUAGGAAGAAAACACUCUUGCGAGAGAAACUGACGGUACUAUAUGAAUAAGGACCGGCUAACUCCGUGCCAGCAGCCGCGGUAAUACGGAGGGUUCAAGCGUUUUCCGGAUUUAUUGGGUUUAAAGAGUGCGUAGGUGGUUUAUUAAGUCAGUGGUGAAAUCCUGCAGCUCAACUGUAGAACUGCCAUUGAUACUGGUAAACUUGAGUUUGGUUUAGGUAAGUGGAAUUUAUGAUGUAGCGGUGAAAUGCAUAGAUAUCAUAAGGAACACCAAUAGCGAAGGCAGCUUACUGGACCACAACUGACACUGAGGCACGAAAGCGUGGGUAGCGAACAGGAUUAGAUACCCUGGUAGUCCACGCCGUAAACGAUGCUCACUCGAUGUUAGCGAUAUACUGUUAGCGUCCAAGCUAAAGCGUUAA
rnacentral:rRNA from 1 species